rnacentral:tmRNA from 1 species
GGGGCUGUUUGGUUUUGACAGCAAGGAGAUGGGUAGGUAAGCAUGCAGGCUCACGCAUCAGCAGCCUUGAAAACCGAUGCAUAACAAUAAUUGGCGAAAACAACUACGCUCUCGCUGCCUAACCGAAGCACAGUAAGUUUGGCUUAAUUCCCGUGCAAAGCGCGGGAACGGGACAUCUCCCAGCCGCCCCGACCGUCGGCUGCUGACCAGGGGGUGCUCAUAAAGACGGGAUAGCCCGCACGACGUCUCUACCUGCGGGCGAAGCCUUAGAGACUAAGGGUGGCCUUGGGUGCCGAUGUCCAGAGCCGCCCCGACAACCAACCACCGGAUAAGCAUGUAGAAAGCAUAUCUGUUACUUGUUUGGACGAGGGUUCGACUCCCUCCAGCUCCACGA